rnacentral:misc_RNA from 1 species
AUAAAAAGCAGACAAAUCUUCGUGUAAAAUGCACAGUAGAUGCAUUAAAGGGAAUAUUAAUUCUGAACACAUCAAGCCAUCUCCUUAACACAUUACAAGAAUCCUAUAUUAUAUGAUAUAUUGAUCACUAAUUGCAUAAUUAAAGCUCAAAUGGAUCGACAACACAAUUGCAUAAGCAAUGCAAAUAAUUAAACUUGAUCACAGAAGACGCCGAGGUUUACGAGCACUAACCAACUUCACAUCAUCUAAUACAGGUCCACAAAGUGAACCAGAUUGAUUCAUGGUGUAAAAUGAGCUCAGGAACACAACCCUUGUGCGUGUUGACACGGCAUUGAACUGGAAUCUGGCACGCUUGAACCCUCCUGUGCCCUUGGAUUGAUAAGGAACUUCAAUUUUAUCCUUACCUGCAUAUGCCUCUAUUGCCAUGGAUCCUUCGCAUGAAUUGUUAGCAUCACCUACAUUGAAGGUUAGUUCAUAGGUCUUUCCGGGUAUAGUCUUAACUAUUUGUGCAAGGGCACUUUCUUUUCCUGCCAUAAGUUCAAUGGCUCGUUCGCCUUUUGGAACUGAAAAGUGAUCGAAGUCUAUGUACUUCACUGCCUUGAGAGAUUCAAUCAUCCAACCAGGUAAAGGGCUGUGGUCAUCUUCAAUGUUUGGUGGAAUUAGGACUCCCCAGUCUGUGUUGGGGAACAUAUAUGGUCCCUCUUCAAAAUUUCCAUUCUUUAGCAAGUUCCCUGCAAAUAAAUAGAAAUUAGGUUGAUAUGUGUUACAUGGUGAUCAAGAAGACAUACUUAGGGGCUUGUUUGGUUCAGCGGUUGUGGUAAACAUCAAAUGUUAGCUGCCAGUAAUCAAACAUGAACUUGAUAUAAUACGCGAAAAGCCACUUUUGAUCUCAUCAAGUAGCGGAGAUUACCUCUAGUACGUUUGGGAUUAGAUAGAAACUUCAGUGCUACAGAAUCAAUCAGUGGGCCGCAGGCAGGGUCCUCCUCCACACCUGGAUGAUGGAUAGUGAUCUCAACUUCAGAAGCAUCAGCCUGGAAACCCCAAGCAUAUGAAUCCCAUCCUUUGCUGCUAUACAUUGUUUGCAUUGGCAGGAUUCCCCAAUCAUUUGGUUCAGAAUUUGGAGAAACAGAAACAUUUAGCUUCUCCUCCUGGGCACAGGUGCGAGCUACAUUAAAAGUUAUAGAGUAAAAGCUGUUCUUUGUGACAUUAAUCUUCUGCUUUAUGGAUGCUUGAUUGCCUAAUCUAACUGCAAAGGCUCCAUCAGGCACAACUAGCAGCAUGUCACCUUGUUUUUGACCUGAUUUUAUGUAUUCAACAUAGCCUGAAAUUUCCCAGUUAGGGAUAGCAUUCUUUGCUGUUACUACUGGUCCUUUCAUUUGCCCUGGCUUUGGUCCGUGCUCAAAGUCCCCAUUUGGCAACAAACCGUCGGUCACCGAGAAGGCAACAUGACUGGUGGUGCUAAGUAGCAAUAGCAAUAGCGACACCGUGGCUCUGUACAUUUUAGCUGUUGUAGCUUCCUGUGAGAGAAGAGGGAGAGAAGUGUCUU